rnacentral:rRNA from 1 species
AUAUUGCGCAAUGGAGGGAACUCUGACGCAGCGACGCCGCGUGAGUGAUGAAGGUCUNNNGAUCGNACAGCUCUGUCCUUGGGNAAGNAGAUCUUCGGAUUGGACGGUACUCAAGGAGGAAGCCCGGGCUAACUACGUGCCAGCAGCCGCGGUAAUACGUAGGGGGCAAGCGUUGUCCGGAAUUAUUGGGCGUAAAGGGUGAGUAGGCGGCCUUUUAAGUCAGAUGUGAAAGACCACGGCUUAACCGUGGGGUUGCAUUUGAAACUGGAGGGCUUGAGUAUCGGAGAGGGUAGUGGAAUUCCCAGUGUAGCGGUGGAAUGCGUAGAUAUUGGGAGGAACACCAGUGGCGAAGGCGACUACCUGGACGAAAACUGACGCUGAUGCACGAAAGCUAGGGGAGCAAACAG